rnacentral:misc_RNA from 1 species
GAUGAAGAACGCAGCGAAAUGCGAUAAGUAAUGUGAAUUGCAGAAUUCAGUGAAUCAUCGAGUCUUUGAACGCACAUUGCGCCCCCUGGUAUUCCGGGGGGCAUGCCUGUCCGAGCGUCAUUGCUGCCCUCAAGCACGGCUUGUGUGUUGGGCCGUCGUCCCCUCCUAGGGGACGGGCCCGAAAGGCAGCGGCGGCACCGCGUCCGGUCCUCGAGCGUAUGGGGCUUCGUCACCCGCUCCGUAGGCCCGGCCGGCGCUUGCCGACGACCAUCAAUCUCUUUCUCCAGGUUGACCUCGGAUCAGGUAGGGAUACCCGCUGAACUUAAGCAUAUCAAUAAGCGGAGGA